rnacentral:rRNA from 1 species
ACUUGAAGGAAUGAAAAAUCGAAGUCAUGAGCGAUUACCAUGUUAAUAGAAUGUGGGGCAUUAUUGCGAAUAGUUCGAAAUAAAUUUUGAUAAUGACAUAAUUUGUUUCAAGGUCUUGACCUACUCAUGUGCCAGCAGUCGCGGUAAGACAUGGAAGGCCAGCGUUAUUCAUCUUUAUUAGGUUUAAAGGGUACUUAGACGGUAAAUAUUUGCUUUAAUUUUCAAAAAUUUUGUACGUAUUCUACUAGAGUUUUAUAUAAGGAAGUUCAGAACGGUGAGUGUAGGGAUAAAAUCUGUUGAUACCACUUAGAAACUGGUAUAGGUGAAAACAGGGUCUUAUGUAAUAACUGACGUUGAGGGACGAAGGCUUCACACAAGCAACGGGAUUAGUUACCCCAGUACUAGAAGCAGACAAUGAUAAAUGCCAUAUGUAAGAUGAUUUUUAUGUAUAAAUGAAAAUGGAAGCAUUUCACCUCAAGAGUAAUAUGGCAACAUAUAAACUGAAAUCAUUAGGCCGUUUCUGGAAUUCGUAAUGAAGUAUGUUGUUUAAUUUGAUGGCCCCCAAAGGACCUUACCACAAUGUGUAUAGUUAUAUACGUAAGUAUAUUUCGGACAAGUGUUGCACGGCUGUCUGCAGUUGAUACCGUGAGGAUUGAAGCAAUUCAUAAAUCAACGAAAUCCCUAACUUUAUUUAAAUUAAAGUACUAAUA